rnacentral:rRNA from 1 species
AGAACGAACGCUGGCGGCAUGCCUAAUACAUGCAAGUCGAACGAGAUCUUCGGAUCUAGUGGCGCACGGGUGCGUAACGCGUGGGAAUCUACCCUUGGGUUCGGAAUAACAGUUGGAAACGACUGCUAAUACCGGAUGAUGACGAAAGUCCAAAGAUUUAUCGCCCAAGGAUGAGCCCGCGUAGGAUUAGCUAGUUGGUGAGGUAAAGGCUCACCAAGGCUACGAUCCUUAGCUGGUCUGAGAGGAUGAUCAGCCACACUGGGACUGAGACACGGCCCAG